GUGUUCACUCGGGCAGCACGUGUACUCACAUUGGACAGCACAGAGAAGGUUAGCACGGUCCCUGUGCAAGGAUGACACACAAACUCGUGAAGCAUCCCAUAUUUUU
ensembl:snRNA U6 U6 spliceosomal RNA